GACGAACGCUGGCGGCGUGCCUAACACAUGCAAGUCGAACGGACAGGCCCUGCUUUUGUGGCGUGCUCGAGUGGCGAACGGGUGAGUAACACGUGAGUAACCUGCCCCUGACUUUGUGAUAACUUCAGGAAACUCCGGCUAAUACCCGAUAGGAGCUCCUGCUCCACGGUGGGCGUUGGAAAGUUUCGGCGGUUGGGGCUGGUCUCGCCGCUUAUCCGCUUCUCUGUGGGGUAGUGGCUUACCAAGGCUGUGACGGAUAGCCGGCCUGGGAGGGCGAGCGGCGACAUGAGGACGGAGAGAGGGACCAGACUGGAACGGGAGGCAGCAGUGGGGAGUAUUGCGGAGUGAGCGGAAGCGUGAGGCAGAGGCGCCGGGGGCGGGAUGACGGCCUUCGGGUGGAAAACCGCUGUGGCCGGUGACGAGGCGUGAGUGACGGUAAUGGGUAAAGAAGCACCGGCUAACUACGUG
rnacentral:rRNA from 1 species